ACGCGAAUCGGCGAUGAGGCUCGCCACAACCGUCUGCCAGACAGACUGAUGACUCCUGCCCGGCG
rnacentral:ncRNA from 1 species